rnacentral:lncRNA from 1 species
CAAAAAUUCUAAACUUAAUUAGAUAUAGAUAACAAAUAAAUAAUAAAAUUAAAUAUAAUAAAUAAUAAUAGUAAUAAAACAAACAAAUAAUAAAAAUAAAAAUAAAAAAAAGAAUGAAAAAUGGCAUGAAAAGUGACUCCACGUGGAAUCAACAACAAAUUAUCUUCUUAUUUUUAAAUUCAUUUUUUUUAAUUUCAAGAAAAAAAAC